CAAAAGCAUAUAUUAAAGUUGUUGCGGUUAAAAAGCUCGUAGUUGGAUCCAUGACCUCGGAGGGCGGUCCCCCACUGGGUGCGUACUGCUGCUCCGAGUCCUAUCUGUCAGUUUGUCUGUGUUGCCUUUAAUCGGGUGGCACAGGUGACUGACGUGUUUACUUUGAAAAAAUUAGAGUGUUUAAAGCAGGCGUUGAAUGCCUGAAUAGUGGUGCAUGGAAUAAUGGAAUAGGAUCUCGGUUCUAUUUUGUUGGUUCAAGAGCAUGAGAAAAUGAUUAAGAGGGACAGACGGGGGCAUUUGUAUUGCUGCGUUAGAGGUGAAAUUCUUGGAUCGUAGCAAGACAAACUACUGCGAAGGCAUUUGCCAAGAAUGUUUUCAUUAAUCAAGAACGAAAGUUAGAGGUU
rnacentral:rRNA from 1 species